rnacentral:rRNA from 1 species
AACGAACGCUGGCGGCAGGCCUAACACAUGCAAGUCGAACGCUCCGCAAGGGGAGUGGCGCACGGGUGAGUAACACGUGGGAACCUACCUUCUGGUACGGAACAACCAAGGGAAACUUUGGCUAAGACCGUAUACGACCUCCGGGUGAAAGAUUGAUCGCCGGAAGAGGGGCCCGCGUCCGAUUAGGUAGUUGGUGAGGUAACGGCUCACCAAGCCUUCGAUCGGUAGCUGGUCUGAGAGGAUGACCAGCCACACUGGGACUGAGACACGGCCCAGACUCCUACGGGAGGCAGCAGUGGGGAAUAUUGGACAAUGGGCGCAAGCCUGAUCCAGCCAUGCCGCGUGAGUGAUGAAGGCCUUCGGUUGU